GAUGAAGAACGUAGCGAAAUGCGAUAAGUAAUGUGAAUUGCAGAAUUCAGUGAAUCAUCGAAUCUUUGAAUGCACCUUGCGCCCUUUGGCCAUUCCGAAGGGCAUGCCUGUUUGAGUAUCAUGAACACCUCAACUCUUCAUGGUUUUCCAUGAUGAGCUUGGACUUUGGGGGUCUUGCUGGCCUGUGGGUCGGCUCCUCUCAAAUGAAUCAGCUUGCCGGUUUUUGGUGGGCAUCACAGGUGUGAUAACUAUCUACGCUUGUGGUUUUCCACCAGGGUAACCUUCAGCAGUGGAGGUUCACUGGAGCUUACAAAUGUCUCUCCUCUGUGAGGACAGCCCUUUGAAUGUUUGAUCUCAAAUCAGGUAGGACUACCCGCUGAACUUAAGCAUAUCAAUAAGCGGAGGA
rnacentral:misc_RNA from 1 species